rnacentral:rRNA from 1 species
GACCGGAAUUCUUCCCCAAUGGGCGAAAGCCUGACGGAGCAACGCCGCGUGGGGGAAGAAGCAUUUCCGCGCUGUAAACCCNUUUUCCGGGGUACAAAAAUAGGUGAUCAAUCCUCAAGGAAUUAAGGGCGGCUAACUACGUGCCAGCAGCCGUGGUAAUACGUAGGGGCCAAGCGUUGUCCGGAGUUACUGGACGUAAAGGGUGCGCAGGCGGUUGGUUACGUCGUGAGUGAAAGCCCCCGGCUUAACCGGGGAGGGUCGCGCGAAACGGGCUAACUGGAGGCAAGGCGAGGUCGGUGGAAUUCCCGGUGUAGUGGUGAAAUGCGUAUAGAUCGGGAGGAACACCAGAGGCGAAGGCGGCCGACUGGACUUGACCUGACGCUGAGGCACGAAGGCGUGGGGAGCGAACGGGAUUAGAUACCCCGGUAGUCCACGCAGUAAACGAUGGAUACUAGGUGUGGCGGGAGUUGACCCCGGCCGUGCCGGAGCUAACGCAGUAAGUCUCCCGCCUGGGGAGUACGGCCGCAAGGCUAAAACUCAAAUGAGUGG